GACUAUACGGGAAUCUACUGAUUCUGUACACGUAGAUCUACAUGAUGGUACACAAGAAGACACGUGGUUACAAUUAUUAUCAAUCAUUGUAUCAAGAAGUUUACAGAAGGGCUAUGAGGGCAAGAAUGGCGGCUGAGAGGCGAUUGAAACAACUGGGAAGACUCCUCAGUCCACCACCACGUCAAGCAAAGCAGCUACUACACACUGGGACCCACAAACUGUCUGGCUCAUCAGUCGAGAUUGAUGGCAUCAGAUUAACUGUAGAUGUACCUUCUAAUCCUGAAAUGGUCCCUAAGCUAUAUUUAAACAAGUCUCCAUCACAGAGUGUAUUGCAUCACCUCAAGUGGAUGAUUUCGAAAGAUCUGAUUGGUCAAGAUAUGUACUUGUUGAGUCCUCCAGGGCCUUACCCUCGUCAUCUCGCCCUCUCUUUUGGUGAGCUGGUCUCACGAGAGGUAGAGUUUGUGAGUUUGUCUCGAGACAGCACUGAAGUUGAUAUGAAGCAAAGAAAAGAGAUUAUUAAUGGCAGUGUCACUUACGAAGAUCAGGCAGUUGUUCGUGCAGCCAUUAAUGGUCGGCUCCUGAUCCUGGAAGGCAUUGAGAAAGCUGAGCGUAAUGUCUUACCUGUUUUGAACAAUCUCUUGGAAAAUAGAGAGGCACAGCUUGAUGAUGGGAGGUUCAUUGUGUCUCACGAAAGAUACGAUCAACUUGCUGCAGAUCAUUCAGUUGAUGAUUUGAAUUCAUGGAAGUUGCUUAGAGCCAGCGAAAAGUUUAGAGUAAUAGCAAUAGGUCUACCUGUACCGCCUUACCACGGGAACACUUUGGAUCCACCUCUUAGAUCAAGAUUCCAAGCAAGGCAUAUUCUCCCUGUUCCAUUCCCUGAAGCUUUAGAAGAAUGCAAACAAGCUUAUCCUAGCAUCUCAGAACAAAACCUCUCCAUUGUCCUCUCUAUUGUAUAUACAAUACUAUCUAUGACCCAAUCUCAUUCUGGCGGUCCUAUUAAUCUUACUGGACAGUUAGACAGACUGCUAACUAUAUUGUCCAAUGAUCCAUCAAUUGGUCUCACUCGGUUAAUCGAGUCUAUCUAUCCAUCAAGACUAUUAUCAAGUGGACAACUUUUGGAGGGAAUAUUGGAAAAAUUUGGACCCUCUUUUAUUACCUCGUCAGCAGUCACAGUAUCUAGUGAGCGAGCUCCUCUUGUUGAAGGAGGUGGUUUUGUCCCUCUUCCUUCUCACAGCUCUUGUCUUAAUUUUAUGAUGCAGUGUCAGUCGGUUGGUGACUUGUGUAUAGUAGGAGAGAAGGGCAGCGGUAAAACAAUGUUGAUAAGCCAGUUAGCAAAGACACUGGGUUAUUCCAUAGAGCCAAUAGUGUUAUAUCAAGACAUGAGCUCAAGGGACCUGCUACAGCAGAGAAUAACUACCAGCAAUGGUGACACUGGGUGGAGGAUGAGCCCAUUAAUCACAGCUGCUGUUAAUGGAUCCAUGGCUGUACUGGAUGGGCUACAUAGGCUUGAUAGUAGCACUGCAUCAACUCUUAAGAGGCUGGUACAAGAUCGUGAAGUUGAUUUGACUGACGGUACAAGGUUGUUGAGACAUGAUAGGUUUAUUGAGGCGAUAAAUGUAUCUGGACUUACAGAACAAGAAAUGAGAGAAAGAAAAAUAUUUCCUAUUCAUCCUAAAUUUUUUAUUGUUGCUGUUGGUGAGGCGACUCCCACUCAACCCAACGAUUGGUUGACCCCAGAACUGUUGUCAAUGUUUCAAUUUGUGAAUGUCUUGCAAUUACCAAAAGAGGAAGAGAAAAGGCUCAUACAAAUAAAAGUCCCCAGUUUAUCUUCUAAUGUCAUUGAUAAAUUAUUGAACUUUACUCAUUUCCUAAGGCAUUCUGAUGAUCCUACAUUAGUUGCACUUUCUUCUUCGCUAUCAACAAGACAGCUGCUACGCAUUGCUCAUCACUUGGCUCAUUAUAGCGAUGGAAAAGAAGGGGAUCUUUUUGGAUUAAUACUAAAAGCAUCUUUAUCAAGGUUCUUGCCUCCAGUUGCUAAAUCUGCUCUCUUUCGAGCUUUGACUUCUAAUAAUAUUCAUCCCUCACCUUCUCCUGUUUCAGAUAAUGAUAUGCAAUAUUCAAGGGCUAAUGGGUUACUAAGAAUCGGUAGCACCAAAGUACCUAUCCAUGCUCCUACUAGUGACAUAGCCAUGGUACCCGAUGUCACUUUUUACGAUAACCCACUGCAUGUACGCAUAAUGGAGGACAUGUUAAAGGAUUACAGUUUGGGUGAGCAUCUCUUACUGAUUGGUAAUCAAGGAGUUGGUAAGAAUAAGCUAACUGAUAGGUUCCUUCACCUUAUGAACUCCCCAAGAGAAUAUCUUCAAUUACACAGAGAUUCUACAGUUCAAACACUAACAACUCAGCCAUCAGUUAUUGAUGGAAGAAUAACAUAUCAAGACUCUCCUUUGGUUCGUGCAGUGCAGUAUGGUAGAGUAUUAGUAGUUGAUGAAGCAGAUAAAGCUCCCACUCACGUCACUGCUAUAUUGAGAAACAUCGUCAAUGGAGAAUCAAUAACUCUAUCAGAUGGAAGAAAGAUUAUGCCAAAAGGGUCUCCUUUACAAGUAUGUGAUGAUACUAUUCCAAUUCAUUCUGACUUCAGGAUGAUAGUCUUGGCCAACAGACCAGGCUUCCCUUUUCUAGGCAAUGACUUUUAUGCAGCAGUAGGUGAUUGUUUUAGUUGCCAUGCUGUUGAUAAUCCUGACUUUGAGUCUGAAAUGUCAAUGGUGUCGCAAUAUGGUCCUGAUGUACCGCAAAAGAUCCUGCAAAAGCUAGUCUCUGCAUUUUCCGAUUUAAGAGAAAUGGCGGACGAGGGAAGAAUAUCCUAUCCUUACUCCACCAGAGAAGUUGUUAAUAUCGUCAAGCAUAUGCAGAUGUUUCCAAAUGAAGGAGUAUCCACUAUUGUCCGCAACGUGUUUGAUUUUGACAGUUAUUCCUCACAUUUAUUGGACACUGUCAUAUCAACGCUUCAUAAACACGGGAUACCACUUGGAGCUAACAGAAAGAAUGUUAGACUAGCUACAAAGGAUCCUUUACCAGCCUUGGCUCUUGCUAAUACAUUCAAUAUUGAUACUUCAAAUUAUCAGAAAUUAAAGUAUGAGCAAACAAAAAUCAAAUUGACCGAUGGUCAGAAGUUGCCUGUGCAGUCAAUACCGUGUGAGAGAGAUGUUAUUCGGAGUAGAUUGUUCUCAGAAAUAAAAUCUCAGUGGGUCAUCCCUCUUCAUGAAUCAGAUGACAUAUCAUCAAUAUGUACAUCAACUGAUAAUAAGUCUGGUGGUAAUCUCCUACACGUGAUAACACAUGUCUUGCCGUCCAUUUAUACACUCAAUAUUAAUAAUGACACACUCUCCUAUAUUGAUCUGUUUAAUUACCUACCAUCAGGCAGGGGUCCCGGGCACCCUCUAAUAUCACUGACUGCUCUGGACCCUGUGGAUAACGGACCACACGGAGGGAAAAUAUUGAUACACGAAGGCUUUACUGGUAUCUUGUAUUUAUUGGAUUCAAGUAAUGCUAAUCUUUCUAAAGUUCUCCUUCCGACUUCUAAUGUUUCUGGAAGAUUCCUUGGGUCUUGGAGAGGAAAGAAGAAAGAUGAUAUAUCUCUCUUGUCAAAGUGUCCUAAUGGUAAUUCUGUCAUCAUUUAUCAAAGAGGAAGUAAUGUUGUGAGUCAUUUGGAUUUCAGCUCUACGUCUCCAUUGUGCUCCAGUCUUAGUCUCCCUGUCUCUAUUCACUCACUGCUACCCAUAUCAACUAAUACUGGGAACAAGUGGCUCUUAAUUGAUACUAAUAAAAGAAUUCACUUUCUCUAUAAUUCCUCACCACAAGUGACAUUGCCUGAUUCUAUUUCACCGCUAAUUAAUGGGCCAACUAAUGAAGAUCAAUUAUUAUCAUUAUCAUCAAUCCCACUGCCUCAGCUUAUGUCUUCUUCCAUUUCACAUAAUGAAUCGGUGUACUUGGCAUCAACAGAGUCAUCUCCUCUCUCUUGUUUAACAACAAAUCCUCAAGAUUCAACUAUGAAGCUAUUCCAAGUGACUCAGUUUGGUCCUUCAUCUCAAUAUGAUGAUAUCACUCAUCUCCCUAAAGAUGGCUCCAUUGUUACAGCAACCACGACUAAGUCGGGCGGCAACAGCAAGAAUGUGACACAAUAUUUGUCAGUUUUUGACAUCCCCAACUCAACCCACUGGAAAAUAGAACUGCCCGAAUGGAGUAAUAGUUCUUUAUAUUCGUUGCCAAGGAGUGUGUCUAAUGUCUUCACAGCAUCAGUGCCUAAUGAUAGUGCAGUACUAGCAGUUAAUGAGAGAGGGACUGUCUCACUUAUUGAGACAAACCACUUCUCGCUACAAAGGUCAUUGGAUGAAUGGUAUUCCAUGGUUGGCAAUAGUACUGAUGAUAGACAACUAUUCAUAUCUAGAGACAGUGGCCUUGGUGUGUCCUUACCAAAACAUGGAAAAGUUGAUCCAAAUAAUGCCCCUCAUGUGGGCGGUAAUACAUGGGCAGGAGGUACAGGAGGGAGGGAUACAGCUGGUUUGGGUGGUAAAGGUGGACCCUAUCGACUGGACGCUGGACACAAUGUCUACCAGUUGUCAGAUGAAGAGAAAAUGGCCGUCCCUGAGGAAGUCAGACAGGCAGCUAGGGAAUUGGGACAAAAAGCUUUGAGGGAAAGAUUACAAGAGAUAGCAAUGAGUGAACAUGACCAUAAUGCAUUCACACAGUUGAGGGCUCGGAUACACAAACAAGUCGAAAUGUUAAAGGCUAUACUGGAAAGCACUCAAUCAAAGAGUAAUGAGAGACAAUGGCUGAGACACCAGACAGACGGAGACCUUGAUGAUAGAAAAGUAUGCCAUUAAGAAUACUGCUAGUAGACGGUCUGACUGGUGAGAAAGCAGUCUAUAGAAAAAGGGGAGAGAAAGAACCUGAGUUUGGCCAUUCGUCCAAUGUCCGUAAG
rnacentral:misc_RNA from 1 species